rnacentral:rRNA from 1 species
GGCGAGAUGAGCGGCAAAAGCUCAAAUUUGAAAUCUGGCGUCUUCGACGUCCGAGUUGUAAUUUGAAGAAGGUUACUUUGUAGCUGGUCCUUGUUUAUGUUCCUUGGAACAGGACGUCAUAGAGGGUGAGAAUCCCGUGUGGCGAGGAUACCAGUUAUAUGUAAAGUACUUUCGACGAGUCGAGUUGUUUGGGAAUGCAGCUCUAAGUGGGUGGUAAAUUCCAUCUAAAGCUAAAUAUUGGCGAGAGACCGAUAGCGAACAAGUACAGUGAUGGAAAGAUGAAAAGAACUUUGAAAAGAGAGUGAAAAAGUACGUGAAAUUGUUGAAAGGGAAGGGCAUUUGAUCAGACAUGGCGUUUGCUUCGGCUUUCGCUGGGCCAGCAUCAGUUUUGGCGGCUGGAUAAAUCCUCGGGAAUGUGGCUCUACCGUGGUAGAGUGUUAUAGCCCGUGGGAAUACAGCCAGCUGGGACUGAGGAUUGCGACUUUUGUCAAGGAUGCUGGCGUAAUGGUUAAAUGCCGCCCGUC